UAGAGAGACCUCUUCCUGAGCAAUAAGGAACACACGCAUUUCCUAAGCAUCCUGUCGGGCGGGGAUGUUCCCCCUUUACCAAGGCUCUCUGAGCUGGGAGGGCAUCCGUGCAGGCAGGAGAGACAGCUAGCAGGACGAUCAGAGGUCCUACGAUUAUUCCCAUUUUAUGGAGAGGAAAUCGAAGCAGAAAGGGUUAAGUGAUCUGCCCAAGGAGAAGAACAUGCCCCAGCUAGCUUGCUGGUCCCGGGAGGAUGAGAGGCAUGCAGAACAGAUUCGGACCCAAACGGCAGCCUGGAGCCUAACCCAGCUGAUCCCAGCCGAGAUCAGCCAAAACCCAGCUGAUCUGUGAGUGAGAAACAAUGCUUGGUGGUAUGCUACUGAGCUGUAAGGUCACUUGGUACCAGCGACAGUAGAUGGAUACACAACUCCACCUUCAGUCCCUCUUGGAAACCUAUACAGGAGGAAGGUUUCCAGGAAGAGGAGGCUUCACGCGAAGUCCUGUCCCAGGAGGCCAUUCCUUCCUUACACGCGCCUCACUGAUGAUGUCACAGUAACUGUGACUCAGCUCUCCCAGAAAGCCCUGGUGUGUUAAUAACGACAGUGAUUAGCAUUCACUUGGGGUUUUAUAAGCAAGGGUAGCUACAGCACACAACUAUCUUUGCAAGGCGGAGAGGCCAGGAUCAUCACAUUCAUUUUGCAAAGAGAAAAUGAAAAACUCAGACGACGUGGCUGACUCACCAGGACUGGACCAGGAGGUAGCCGUCCGAAGGGAAAAAUGAACUAAGGAGUUCCUUACACCCAGAGGGAUGUCACGUGUGUGUGUACGCACAUGUGUGUUUUCCUUUUUCUAACCUUUUCAUUAUAAAAGAGAUACACUCCAACUGUAGAGAAAUAGGAAAAUGCAGAAAGUAUUUAAAAAAAAAGUUUCCAUUCCAUCUAGUAGUAUUUUGACUUGUUUCUCAGUGUUAUUUUUAUGCAUGUCUAAAUAGUCUAUAUUUUUGUACAUACAUAUAAGAACUGUAUAUAUUAGAACAUACUGUAUAUAUAAGAACAUUUCCCAUGGCAUUUAAAAUUCUUUAAAUACAGUUU